GGCCUUUUGGGAGCUCACUGGCUUCGGAGUUGUAAGAACUCCGAAGUUAAGCGAGUUGGAGGCUGGAGCAAUCCCAGGAUGGGUGACCACCCUGGGAAGUUGCUCGUGAGCUCCCAGAAACAAAACCGUGCGGGCAGUGAGGGAGGCCCAAAGCGGACAAUAUCGUACUACGGCGGAGCCGGUCCCGGGGUGUGACAUAGAAAUUUGUCGAUGAUCAGCUUGGAAGGUAAUCCAUUAAAGGCCACGCUUCCUGUUUUCUUUGGGAAUCUCUCAACAAAGCUUUAAAUUGUUGAUUUAGGCAACUGCAACAUGAGGGAAUGCUUUCAACAAGUGGGGAUGUGUACAGUUUUGAAAUUACAGCCACAGCACACAGUACACAAUUAAGGGACAUAAGUCCUCAGCAAAGAUAGAUGAAGUUUGAAAAAUGGCCAGGCGGUAGGAUAAAAGAACAAAAGAAAAGAACCAGACCCACCCUGGCACCCAGACUCGCCUAGACCCGCCUAGCUCCUCCCAGACCCGCCUAGCGCCGCCUAGACCAGCCUAGACCCGCCUAGCUCUGCCCAGACCCACCUAGCGCCUCCCAGACCCUCACAGCGCCGCUAGACCAGCCCUGCAGUGCAUAAGUUUGAAAAAUCGCUAGGCAGUAGGCUUAAAGAACAAAAGAGAAUAACCAGACCCACCCUGGCAGCCAGACCCGCCUAGCGCCGCCUAGCUUGCCUAGCUCCGCCUAGACCCGCCUAGCGCAGCCUAGCCCGCCUAGACCCGCCUAGCGCCUCCCAGACCCGCCUAGCGCCGCCCAAAUAAACCGCCCUCUUGUUCAGCGCUUUAAUUAAUGGAUCCUAUCCUAUGACAUAUAUUUCAUGCCGUUUGGUGUGGUUGCUGCAAGCCUGCAACUACGGCCUCUUG
rnacentral:lncRNA from 1 species